AAGAAGAGUGCUGCUCUUGGACUCUCGUCUGCAACAGAGCCAGAGUCUUUGGUACUGCAUGAGAUCAGGCCCCCCACUUAGUGUAUUUGACAAGCUGAGUUGGACACUCUGUAUCAGUGAGUGUCAGUUUGUCAAAUACCCCAAGUGAGGUGUCACUUGUCUACAAGUUAAGAUCACCCCAUAAGCUGAUGUGCCAACUCCACGGGUUGCUCUGCUAACCCAAUAGAAGUUGAGAACUCCAAGGUAACGGGCAUAAAACACAUUGCCUGUAAAGGUUUUGAGCUGUUAAAGUGUUAAAUUAAUAAUAAUGAAAGUAAAAUGUUUAGGUACUGCAUCAUUUUUGCUGCUCUAGUAAUUCAUAUGCAAGCUAAUAGUUUACUUAAAAGUCGUUUAAUAAUCAGAAAUCUUACUUGUAUCAAAUAGGCUCUGUUUCUAUCUUAUUUGCAUCAUGAAGGCUUCAUAACAAUGUUCCAGUAACAGACAGGCAAUUUUUCUGUUUUAACUCGGUUUAGCUAUCAUUACACAAAAGUAUAUAUGUGAUCAGUUUCUCUCAGUUUCAUAAACUAUUUUGUUAAGCGUCAGAGAAGCUGCCCUCUCUGUGUCCGCAUGUGGGGCCACAUGUCUUUUCAGUUUCACAUGUGACAUACAGAAGGGAAGAGAAUGGUGUUCUCUGAAUUUGUGUUAUGAUAACAUAAUCUGCUCGAGUGCAUGAGAAAUAUAUAAUAAAGGCAAAUGAUG